GGCUGAAUGGUGUAGUGGUUAGUGACCCUGACUGAUAUGCUGAAGGUCCCGGGUUCGAUUCCCGGCUGGGGCA
rnacentral:tRNA from 1 species